AAGUUUUGUUCAAUAAAAAUUAUUGAGAAGAUAACAAUGAAAUACAAAAUACCGCCAGUCGUCCGUAGCAUUCAAAUGUUUUCGACAUAAAAUCUAAACAGCGCGGUCGCGCUGCUUGCGACUCAAACGGUUAAUAUACCAUGGCAUAUACAAUUAAUACCGCAACAAAUAGCGUCAUGCAAAAUUCUUUUCGUAGUGUCUGUAAAUAAUCACUUCGUGAAGUCGCCAUAAAGCAAGUCCAGCGUAGCUGUCUCGUUCAACAAAAAUAUAUUUGUAUUCCUGAAAAUAUAGAUAUAACGAAUCUCGACCAGAUUUCUUUCCACAAAACUCCUCGAUUUUUUUUUUUUAAUUCUGAAUCAUUACGAACCACCUAAAAAGAUCUUGCAAAAAAUUUCGAACGCAAGAUUUGACUAGAACACAGGCGUACGGACUCUCCAACUGACCGAUGACAAGAAUAAUAAGAAGUUAGGGAAGACGGCGAAAGAAGGGAAAAAACAGGGAGAAACAAAAAGAAGGUUGGCUUUCAUGAACCACAGAAGCUGGAGUGCGCUGCUCGGUGGCGAGCGAGUGGCGUGUGUUGGUAUGACCCACCCUGUUCGGGAAACGUGUCGAGAGGGAUGGCAAGGGUCGGAGUUAUAUCGGGUUUCCACCACCUCCGGGCGAACUCCGCUUCGAUGCCCGCGUCGUAAACAAGCCGGACAGACCGCACGAACACACGAGGAGCAACGUGACGCUGGAAGACGACGCUCCGAGCGGAGAAGAGAAGACGAGAAGAAAUAAGAAAGCGGGUAAAAAAGAAAAGGACACGGAGGAAAUCCCGGUCAGUGCACACACGAUCUUUAACAAGACUACCGACACGAAGAGGAAAGGCGAUUCUGGGCAGAGCGUAUAGGAAACGAGACAUUUUGCGGAGAAUUCUAACCCCGGCGACUUUUCACGGAAUUACUUGACGGCCGUGCACGUAAUUGUUAACGGUGCUGGCUGUUUUCACGGAAGGGAAAUAGGAUUGAGUUUACCUUUGACGUACAAACAGAGCUUUCAACGGAUUUUAAUCACAUACGCCGUGUCGGCUUCCAUGGAAGCGGAUGCUUACACGUCGGCCGUUUUUACGCGUGUCCAAUUUCUACGGGGUUCUGCCUGUCGAAUCCGAUACCGGGGAACCUUGUCGGACGGGAUAGCCGCAUCGAGGGAAAUACGUAAACGGAAAAAUAUAUUAGAAUCGCUGGAACGAAUAAUUUCUCACGUUCGAACGGUCGUAUUGGUUUUAUAUACAAUUUACUGAAACGUAUCAACGAGAUGGAAUUACCGAGGUAAGCGAGCCAAACGAACAUAUCUGAUUUUUCCGAUCAUGACAACGAUGGCGAUUUUUCAAAACGUCUGAACGUUAUUCUAAGAAGAAUCGCAAUAAUACACCAAGGACAAUUCUAGGAGGAAAGGCAAUUCUGCACGUCGUUUUCAACCGUACGAUGGUUGCAUGCAAAACAGAUUUAAAACUGGAUACCAGUUCAUUUCUGCUGAAACACCGGAAUCGGAGAGUUUCAUUCCCUUUGUUUCUCGUUGGCCAUAUUUGUUCUUUCCUUGUUUCCUCUGCAUCUUCUUCGCCUUUUCCUUUUUCUUUACCUUUUUCCCUUAACUGCUUUCCCUUCUUUUAUCUUUUUCUUUUCCUUCUCUUCUUUCUCAUUUUCCUCCUUUCGAGUUAUUCUAUAAAUCGAACAUCGCGAAACGAUCUCAGCUAUUCUUUUACAGAUAGAGGAAAAGAAUUUUCACGUUACACGUUGAUCCUAGGGGUUAACUGAAGUGUUAGUCUAUCCAAUCAUAAAAACUGCUGAAUUUCAUUUUUAGGAUUCACUUAUUGUUUCGGCGGUGCAGCGUGAUCUUAAACGAAGAUAAUAUGCAUUGAUAAUGAUAAUGUUGAUAUAAUACAACAAUAUUUAGGUAUUUUUCAAUGUUUGGUUUCAUACACGAAAUAUUUCACUAUGUCUGAAUUAAAGAUUACUAAUUUAUAUUUCUAUAUGUGUCCAUGCCAAAUGUUCGUGCUAACUAUUCACACGCAUUUACGUUACAUAUAGUCAAAACAUAUAUUAAUGUAUAACAACGUUUGCUAAUUUCAGUUGACUUACCGUGUAUUAACCCGGUACAUAUUAAUGUAGCUGCGUAUUAUUCUGUAGCCAUGCUUUGUUGAUAUAAUGUUUUCAAUCAGAACACGUAUUAACGUGUGUAAUUUCAAAUUACACGUGUAAACCAUAUCAAUGUGUCUGCAUGUUUGUCUCCAUGUUUCAAUACGUGUAUACAUUUUAAUGAAAAUAAAUACAUUUCUCUGUUAUCUAUAGAUCAAUGAUUAAAAAAUACAUCUCUUCUGCUUUGAAGCGCUAUAAAGACAGAACAAGUUCGAAAUUUCUAUUUCGAGUAAUAGAUAUUACAACUUACGUAAAAUUACGUAAAAUUUGAUGCACAGAGACUAUUUGUAUUUUCAACAUUCCAUAUUUUAUUUGGCCUAUUUUAGCCAAAAAUACGAAUACUAACAUAAGUUUGUUCAUUGUCUUAUCCAAAAACAGACGAAAAGCUUUCAAUUUCUAACUUAUAAAAGAACACCUGUAAUAGAUUAACCGUGUGUUCGUGUCCUGAUUUAGAAACCGAGACAAAUUCAAUCAGAAUCGCGAACAAAACAUAAUACGUAUUACAAAUAAUACAUAAUACAUACAUAAUAAUAAUACAUAAUACAAAACGUAACAUAAAUUAAUCAGAAGGUGAAUGAGACAUGACGAGGUUUUUUUUUGUUGUCAAAAAGACGAAAGGAUCGAAUAAAUUAAGCGAGGAGAAAUUUCAUUCCACGCGUAUUUCAUUGUAUUUAACGAAAAGUGAUAGCAUCCGGCGAGAAGUUCAAUUCUCCCAAGUUCCAUUGUAACAAGUAUUUGUACGUUUCUGGAAAGUGCCGACAGUUCGAGGGGCUGAAGAAAGACCGCCGCCAGGUGGAAGAAAUUGCGGCACGAGCAAUUUGCGAACAUUAUCCGAACGGAGGUACGAAGACGUUUGGCAGCGAACGGGAAGGACAUUCUUUCGAAUUACACCACCGCCGUUGUCGGCUGCCAACGGCGAAAUUACAUUAUCACGGAAUUGCAUGGUCCCGGGACGAAAACCGGAUGCGAUGAAUACGAAUUCACUUGUACUCGUUCUCAGAUUCGAAACCAGCUUACGAAAGUCGAAAAUUUCACAAGUUCAGUGAACGAACCAUUGUAUGUUAUGAGUAUUAUUUAAAUCUUAUGACGCGGACGUAUGGAUUUGAUUCGAAUUUGUAAGUGAACACGCUGAACUUGAUCCCAUCGCUAGAGAGGACAAACUAGAGCAGAUCAUUGGAAGAGAAGGUAGGAAGCGAAAAAUACAACAGAAGGAGCCAGAGAGAAAUAACAGAAGAAAGAACGAAAGAUGGAAGAAAAGCUUUCUCCGAGUGAGAAACUUUCGCUGUCUAUUGAAACACACGACUGUUCAAAAAUUUAGCCAGACCUAGAAAAAGCGUGGCGAACUCGUCCCUUCUGCAGGGCAUGAGCAAGCCCUGUCUCCGACAGCUGUCGCGUAAACGUCUACUUUGAAAUAGUAGCGGCCUUAGUCGACGGGAAGACUUAGAUACGCGGGGGCAAAAUUCUUGAAGUUCGACUUUAAUGGCGGCGACCCCAUUUCGAAAUAGACCGUCUAUUAGCGAGGUCUUAAUAUUUCAAGAGUUUUACGGAAUU